CCCCCCCAUUUAAGCACUGACUGCCAUAGGGAGAAGGAUCUUUUUCUGAAGAUUGCUCCUUUUGGAGUUUUUUCUGUGAGCCUAUGACGCAGCCACUGGGAAAUUACUGCAAUAUCUUUCCCCAGAGUUUACUACUUUUAUACUGAUAAGUUGAGUAUCUGCUGCUUAGGAGUUGCCAUAUAAGUGAAUUCAGGAAACACUAAAAUCAUAAGUGUUUCAAAUGUGAGAUACUGCUUUGAAGAACAGCUUUGAGCUCUGAAGGAAGAGAAAUUCUUCCCCAUUGUUUUCAUCACCAGUUUGUCUAAAUCUUCCAGCAAACAUUACAGUUUGUGCGCUGACUUAAGCAUUGCUCAGUUGCUGGUUGACCAAGGCAUGAAUACUAAGUAUGGCAUUUACAGUCAAGUCUUCUUUCUGACACCAAGUGUGCAUCAUCAAUAGUAACACAGAACUACUUAUCAAGAAAGAUGAUCAUGCUUUUAUAAUUUUGAAUUCUGGCUAGGAGUGAAUCAAUAAAAACGUGCCAUGACUUAAAAGAAAAAAACAGUAUUCAAAUCAGUCUUUUGAUUAGCCAAGAAAUUUGAAUUUCUUAGAAUGUGUAAAGG
ensembl:lncRNA